GUGCACGGUGGCUUAGUGGUUAGCAUGCUUGUCUCACACCUCCAGGGAUGGGGGUUCGAGUCCCACCGUGGCCC